AAUUUGUUAGCCGUAACUGUAACAGUCGUCAGUGUAUCAAAAAAAUAAUUAGUAUUACAACAAAUCAGCAAUUGUUUAUUGAUAUAUAUUAAGCAUACUAAUAUAUUUUAUUUCUAAAGUUAAUAGACUAUUUAAAAUGUCUGUACAACAAUUACAGAUCGAAUUACAAAACGAACUAGUAACAAUGAAUCAACUGUCACAGUUGAUAACGUCAGAGUUGAGGCAGAUUAAAGAAUUAACAAACCCCGGGGGAGAAUUGGAGAAUAACGUGAAACAGAAUGUUUCUCUUAUGAAGGAGUUGGCUACAUUAAAAAAUAUUAAUUUAUCAAGCAUUCCACCUUUUGAUCGAUGGGGCAGAGGGCGUCCACAGUGAGUUUUCAUCGCGUUCAGUCUUAAGCCUCGUGUUUCACCUCGCUCCAAGUCUUUCCUCCUCUCUUUGCCUCAUCUGCAACUGUUCGGCGCCAGGUUUAUUUGAGA